AUUGAACGCUGGCGGCAGGCCUAACACAUGCAAGUCGAGCGGAGCGGCGGACGGGCGAGUAAUGCCUAGGUAUCUGCCUGGUCGUGGGGGAGAACGUCCGGAAACGGGCGCUAAUACAGCAUCCUAUCAGAUGAGCCUAGGUCGGAUUAGCUAGUUGGUGGGGUAAAGGCCUACCAAGGCGACGAUCCGUAGCUGGUCUGAGAGGAUGAUCAGUCACACUGGAACUGAGACACGGUCCAGACUCCUACGGGAGGCAGCAGUGGGGAAUAUUGGACAAUGGGCGAAAGCCUGAUGCAGCCAUGCCGCGUGUAUGAAGAAGGUCUUCGGAUUGUAAAGCACUUUAAGUUGGGAGGCGUUACCAACAGAAUAAGCACCGGCUAACUCCGUGCCAGCAGCCGCGGUAAUAC
rnacentral:rRNA from 1 species